UUAAAAAUCAUAUAAGAACAAAUUUGAUAUAAAAAUGGAUUGCUGCUUUGUAAAUGAAUGCGAAAGAUUUGCCGUGACCCCAGUCCUUGUGAGUCCUCAAGUUAAAUGCUGCGAAAGUGCACCAAUAUAUGUUCCGUGUUGCAAUGACAAAGUCGUAUAUUGCUGCGAGAAGAUACGACCUUGUACGCCGGUGGCGAGGAAAAUAUGCUACGAUGGUAAUUGUGACCAUACGUGUACUCUAUGCUCCGAGCCGCCCCAGAAGAUUUGUCCGACAUGCCGUCAGCCGACCGGCCCGCCUGCGAAGCCGGCAGUCAAAUACGUCAUGCCUUGUUAUCGGUAUGAAGAUGGUCGAAUUGAACAAUUCGAUUCUAAAGUUCACGGUAAACUUCCAGCUACUGCUUAUAAAAGGAAUGGGAUACAGGAUCAAAUUAAUGGAUAUAGAGGAGCGCGACGUGAUCUGUGCGCGGUAAAAGUAAUGCCAUCAACUGCGCUAAAACGGAACGGCAUCCAGGACCACGAGUACAACGAAAGCGGUGGAGUUUCUUAUUUAUGCCAAAGUCCGAAUACCGCCAUUUGGUCGGAUAGACCUUUCUAUAUGCCCAUCAAGGCAUUUAAGAGAAUUGCUAAUACAGUGACUUUGAAAGGAUUAAAAUAACAGGAAGCGAUCACUUCGAUUUUGGCAUUUUGAUAAUUUAGGAUCGAAUCUUAACCGCGCUUGAAAUGACUUACGGCUAGCUGCUACGUUUAUGAAUGUUAAAGUUGCGGUAUGAUUACAGAUAAAUCAACCCACUUGUUUAACAAAACACGCUUGUAAAGUGGCCUGCAGUUAUUGCCCGACACAGACAGCGCCA